ACAAGUCUGUGUCAUCAGAUAUCCUACUGAAAUGAAGGAACUGUCACGCUCCUGGGUCUUUUGACCCAGCGUUUUGAGUUUUCAUUUAUUUUGAUGUUAUGGUUGUUUAAGUUCAUUAGCUUACCUAUGUUCAUUUACUUAUUAGUUUCCCCUUGUGUUUUCAACCCCUGUGAAGUCUCCCUUGCCCUUCAUGUGUUUCAUGUCUGUGUCUUAUGUUGUCAAGUUCAUGUUGUCAUGUCUGUGUCUCAUUAUGUUUCCUGUUUUAUUUUGAAGGGGUCGUGUGUUCCUAUGUUCAAUGUUUUUAGUUUUACACUCCCCUUGUGACAUCAUGAUGUUCAUGUGAGUCAGCUGUUUCCCCGUGUGUUGCCGCUUCCCUCAUUAGCCUCCUGUGUGUAUUUAGUCCGUGUGUUGUCAGUCUUUCCUUGUCAGAUCGUUUGCUGUGUUCAUGUGAUGCAUCCAGGUUUUUCCCAGGUUUCCAUGCCAGGUUCCAUCUGUAAGGUUUUUCUAUGCGUUAAUCUUAGUUCACCCAGUUUAGUUUGUUUAGUUUUACCUUUGCCUUUUGUUUUGUACUUCUUUGCCAGCCCUUACUAAACUGCUCGUCCACGUCACGUCUUCAAGUAUCCAUCAUCUUCAUCACUGAAGCGCGAACACAGAUGGAGCCUGUUGAAGUGGUAAUGUGGAUUGACGUCUGUGUCUGCCUUCCUUUGACCAUACUGAUCAUCUAUUGUAUGUGCUGUGCGAGACGAAGGGAUCCAGGCCCUGCCCCCUAUUAUAUAUACCUCCUGGUUUCCAAUCUAAUCCAGCUCUGUGCUCCAGUUCUUUGGCUGGCUAAACUGGAAGACCAUCAUCAGCCCACCGGUGUCUGUGGAGUGUUUUUCUUCUUCGGUGUUACAACUAGUCUCAACUUCAAAACCUGCAUUGUUCUGGAAAGGUAUUUUUUCAUCUCCUGUCCAAUGUUGAACUUCAUAAGAAAAACUAAAGGUUCUAUUUUGGUCUCUGUUCUGGUCUGGACCAUGUGUGUUAUCACUCUCUUUCUUGCAAUAUUACUACACCAAGUUGAACGCAUCUAUUUUUUUACCUUCUACCCUGCCCCUCUGUUCAUUCUUUGUUUAGCUGGGACCCUCAAAGCUCUGCCUGCUGCCACCUCAGUUCCUGCUGAGGAAAAACGAAGAAUUAUAGGAACUUUGUUUCUGUUGCACCUGAAUUACUUUGUGUUGGUCUUACCUGCAGUAAUUCUGUUAUCUUUUGUCAGAAAUGUAAGUUUGGCCAUGAUCCUGCUCAGUCCUUUUGUGGACUUGAUGCUAUUUUGUUUCAUGCAGAAAGGGCCUGUUGACAGUUUGCUCUCAUGUCUGUGCUGCUGCAGUAUGAACAACACUGCAGCAGAUGUCAGCAGCAGAUCACCAGUUUAACUGAUUUUAGCAGACACAGGUGGGCUUGUGUUGGCAAAAACAAAGUGAGAAUGAAAAGGGGAACAUGUGAUGGGACAGAUGCAGAGAAAUUUAAAAAUAAAGAUGGACUAUGUGCACACAAACACACAGAGGAAUGCAAACACAUAGUGUGUAAACAGUUGAUGGAAAUGUCAUGUAUAUGUUUUAUGAUAUUUUUUGGCUUAUUUCAUCAUCUUCAAAACAUUUAUUUCUUUAAAUGUCCACAGCAUGUAUACAUAUCUGCACAAUUUCUUUUACAAUUUCUGAAUUUGAUUCAAGAAUCUUUUACAAUCUCUACAUAAUUUUAGUUUUACUUUUAUGAUACUUUGUUUCUGUCAAACCCAUUUUUUUUAAUUCAUUUUGCACAUUUGUGACUUGACCAAAUCCAGUAGCUCCUUUAGAUUCCACCUGAACAACAAGUAAAUAUUUGUGUCAGCUACAAACAAUAAUUUGAAUACAUCUUUUACUAUCUAAAUUCAUGGUCACAUGUUAAGAGAAGAUACAGAGAUCUGAAAUCCUGUAAAGAAAUUUGGCUUAGUUUUCUGUACUGACAAUGUGACACAUUAUAACAUGAUCCUUGUCCAAUACAUUUUACAUGACCUUCAUGUAUGCUUUUUAUUCUUACAAACAUAUUCAUUAAAGGUACACUAGAUGGAGACAUCAAGUUUUCAUAAAUGAUGAGUUCAGAGGCUAGUGGUAUGAUAGUAACUACCUUUCCAGUAUCGAUUUAAUCUUUGAGGUGCAGGGAAAGAACACAGACGAACCAGCAAUCCACAUGAGAAAACACAGGGCUUAAAUACACACAGGGCAAUCGGGGAAUGGGAGACAGGAGGGAGACAAGGCUGGGAUUAAUAGGACAUAACGGGAAAACUGGAAGCAAAACUAGAAACAUUGACAAGAGAAACAAACCUUCAAAAAAAAAAAACAGGAAACACACCACGAAACCUCUAAACAUGCAAACUUAACACAGACUGGGGAGACGGAACAUAGGAACUUGAAACAUGGAACAGAAGAGCAGAGAGGACACAAAACACUAGGGAUAAUCACAAACAACCCAACAUGAACAAAACCACAGAAUAUUAAAACACUCAAGCAUAAACACCAAGUCCACAGACUCUGGACCAUAACAGGAAUAUUGCUAUAAGGCUACUACUAGAAUCAAACUUUCAAAGUUUGAAUCAAAGAACAGGGUCUGUAACAAAACAAUUUCCCAGUUUGGAGAGAAUAAAUUACUCUUGAUUCUGAACAUUAUGUCUACAAAAUGGUUUCUGGUCCCUGUUCUUAUAAAAAGGUGGACUGAAGCUUUCAUUCCAGAGUUCUGUGUCAUAGUUCUCUUUGUUCCCUUCAUGUCCACUCUGUCCAAGUCUCAUCUUUGUGUUUUGCUCUUUCAUUUUCCUCAGUUAUGUAACUGUGGCUGUCUCCAGCUUGUUCCACCAACAGUUCCCACCUAUUGCCAUCCUCUCGUUACCUAAUGUGUCCUUAAUUCCUUAGUGACGAGCAAGUUUGGGAACCAAACUCAGGACUCCAAAAGGACAAAAGGUUGAAUUGAAAAAGCAAAAAACAGAUUUAUUGCUGGCCCCUCUGAAAGUGCCAGGAAUCCUGGUCGAGAGUAAAUAAUCCUGAACACAGGAAACACUCUUGAGGAAGAACACAGACCAUCAGAGGAUGACGAAACAAGGAACAGAGGGACACUGGGACAUAGCAGACAUGGAUACGUGACAGACUGGGGGAUAAGAGAAAGAAUACAAAGACA